rnacentral:misc_RNA from 1 species
ACCUUUGGCACCUGGACACUCUUCUAUGUGUAAUUUUCUCAUAUUUCUUCUUUUGGUCUAUGAUAGUAUGACUAGUUUAUAUGAUUACUGCUCUUUUUAAAUAUUUUCUUCUUGUUUGAUAUUGGACUACAUUUCCAAUGAUUUCUUUCAUCCACCCUGGCAUUCUCAUGAUCAGAUAAACUGCCAUCUUAUGCUUUCCUUUCUAGUUCUUUGUCACAGAGGGGAAGUGCUUCGAUCAUUGGAUUAAUCACUGCACAAGAGAGAGAGAGAGAGAG